rnacentral:misc_RNA from 1 species
UUUCCGUAGGUGAACCUGCGGAAGGAUCAUUAUUGAAAUAAACCUGAUGGGUUGUUGCUGGUUCUCUAGGGAGCAUGUGCACGCCUUGUCAUCUUUAUAUCUCCACCUGUGCACUUUUUGUAGACCCUUCCAGGUCUAUGUUGCUUCAUUUACCCCCAAUGUAUGUUAAUAGAAUGUUGUGCCUAUAUAAUAUAUACAACUUUCAGCAACGGAUCUCUUGGCUCUC